UACGUAGGGGGCAAGCGUUGUCCGGAAUCAUUGGGCGUAAAGAGCGUGUAGGCGGCCUGAUAAGUCGGCUGUGAAAGUCAAGGGCUCAACCCUUGAAUGCCGGCCGAUACUGUCAGGCUAGAGUCCGGAAGAGGCGAGUGGAAUUCCUGGUGUAGCGGUGAAAUGCGCAGAUAUCAGGAGGAACACCAAUGGCGAAGGCAGCUCGCUGGGACGUGACUGACGCUGAGACGCGAAAGCGUGGGGAGCAAACAGG
rnacentral:rRNA from 1 species